rnacentral:rRNA from 1 species
CGUAAUAACAGAAACUAACCAGGAUUCCCUUAGUAACGGCGAGUGAACUGGGAUACCAAUAUAUUUAUGCGUCUCUGGCGCAUAUUUUUAGCCCGUCGAUACUAUCCUAGCGUAUUACCGGUUUCGGCCGGUAGCCCAAUACGCGGGAAUUGUAGCAUCGUAAUAAAAUAUACACCAUGCCUGCGUCGCAAACGUAUAUACACGUAUACUCACACACACACAUACUCUCGUACACGUACACACCCCUUGCAAACACACAGCGCUCCCGCGUUGGAAAGCAAGUCUAUAUCCUCUUUGGAUAUGCCAUAGAGUGUGACACCCACGUUUGAAACACCCUACGUACCGUACACACACAUACGUAAAAAUACGCGCUGCUUCGCAUACGCAUACCGUAUAUAACCUGAGUCGAGUUAUUU